rnacentral:rRNA from 1 species
GUGGAUUAGAUACCCGGGUAGUCCACGCCGUAAACGAUGGAUACUCGCUGGUGGCGAUAGACGGUCACUGGCUUAGCGAAAGCGUUAAGUAUCCCACCUGGGGAGUACGCCCGCAAGGGUGAAACUCAAAAGAAUUGACGGGGGCCCGCACAAGUGGUGGAGCAUGUGGUUUAAUUCGAUGAUACGCGAGGAACCUUACCUAGGCUAGAAUGCGCGUGACCGCCUCGGAGACGAGGCUUUCCUUCGGGACACAAAGCAAGGUGCUGCACGGCCGUCGACAACU